rnacentral:SRP_RNA from 1 species
UCCGGGAGUCGGUCGGGCGCUUGCGUCCGCCAACCUGGUCAGGUCCGGAAGGAAGCAGCCACAACGGGUUGCGGCGGGUCGGCCGGCUCCUUUUUCA